AACACGAAGUGGGGAUCUGCACUUGGGGUGGUCAACACUGCGGAUGCCCAGCAAAGGCACUGCCUGGUCCACCUCCCGGAGGGGUCUCUGCGCCCCAGUCGGCAUCGCAGCUGAUGGUGAAACUUUUGGUGUGGCAGAAGAGUGUCCACAAACUUUGGAAGGGCCGAGGCAAGGUCCUCGCUCCCAUGGCGUGACUCCGGGGGCGCAGGAGCCUAGGCUGAGCAGGUGGAGUAGGGUGAGCACCGCCAAGAACCCAACGAGAGUGGCGCCCCAGGGCGGCACAGGAGGCCGCAUUUAACGUGUCAAUCAUCUCAAAGAUUUUAUGACAUCUUCUUUUUUUGACAUCUUAUAAUAUCUAUAAUGUUUAUUAUAUCUUGUGAUAUAAUUA
rnacentral:sRNA from 1 species